rnacentral:rRNA from 1 species
UGGGGAAUAUUGGACAAUGGGGGCAACCCUGAUCCAGCCAUGCCGCGUGAGUGAUGAAGGCCCUAGGGUUGUAAAGCUCUUUCGGCGGGGACGAUAAUGACGGUACCCGCAGAAGAAGCCCCGGCUAACUUCGUGCCAGCAGCCGCGGUAAUACGAAGGGGGCUAGCGUUGCUCGGAAUCACUGGGCGUAAAGCGCACGUAGGCGGAUCUUUAAGUCAGGGGUGAAAUCCCGAGGCUCAACCUCGGAACUGCCUUUGAUACUGGGGAUCUCGAGUCCGGAAGAGGUUGGUGGAACUCCGAGUGUAGAGGUGAAAUUCGUAGAUAUUCGGAAGAACACCAGUGGCGAAGGCGGCCAACUGGUCCGGUACUGACGCUGAGGUGCGAAAGCGUGGGGAGCAAACAGG